rnacentral:rRNA from 1 species
CACGAGGGUUUCACUGUUUUAAAAAAUCUCCAAUGAAAUUGAGAUUGGGGUGAAGACGCCCCAUCCAAAUUGUAAGACGAGAAGUCCCCAUGGAACUUUACUGGAGGCUUAUAGUACGGAUAUUAAAAUAGAGGCUGAAGGGUCUUUUUUGUUUUUAUAGAAGGGUUCAAGGUAAGAGGGACAGUUUCAUUGGGGCGAUGGCUUUUUAAAAAGUAACAAAAGUGAGCUAGAAAUAUAAGUUUGAUUGUGAGGGAGAGGGCCCGAGCAGACACUCUAGGUGGGCGGAAGUGACCCGUUAUUUUUGAAUGAAAAAGUUAACGAUAAACAC